GCGGCGUGCUUAACACAUGCAAGUCGAACGGAAAGGCCCUGCUUUUGUGGGGUGCUCGAGUGGCGAACGGGUGAGUAACACGUGAGUAACCUGCCCUUGACUUUGGGAUAACUUCAGGAAACUGGGGCUAAUACCGGAUAGGAGCUCCUGCUGCAUGGUGGGGGUUGGAAAGUUUCGGCGGUUGGGGGUGGACUCGCGGCUUAUCAGCUUGUUGGUGGGGUAGUGGCUUACCAAGGCUUUGACGGGUAGCCGGCCUGAGAGGGUGACCGGCCACAUUGGGACUGAGAUACGGCCCAGACUCCUACGGGAGGCAGCAGUGGGGAAUAUUGCACAAUGGGCGGAAGCCUGAUGCAGCAACGCCGCGUGCGGGAUGACGGCCUUCGGGUUGUAAACCGCUUUCGCCUGUGACGAAGCGUGAGUGACGGUAAUGGGUAAAGAAGCACCGGCUAACUACGUGCCAGCAGCCGCGGUGAUACGUAGGGUGCGAGCGUUGUCCGGAUUUAUUGGGCGUAAAGGGCUCGUAGGUGGUUGAUCGCGUCGGAAGUGUAAUCUUGGGGCUUAACCCUGAGCGUGCUUUCGAUACGGGUUGACUUGAGGAAGGUAGGGGAGAAUGGAAUUCCUGGUGGAGCGGUGGAAUGCGCAGAUAUCAGGAGGAACACCAGUGGCGAAGGCGGUUCUCUGGGCCUUUCCUGACGCUGAGGGGCGAAAGCGUGGGGAGCGAACAGGCUUAGAUACCCUGGUAGUCCACGCUGUAAACGGUGGGUACUAGGUGUGGGGUCCAUUCCACGGGUUCCGUGCCGUAGCUAACGCUUUAAGUACCCCGCCUGGGGAGUACGGCCGCAAGGCUAAAACUCAAAGGAAUUGACGGGGCCCCGCACAAGCGGCGGAGCAUGCGGAUUAAUUCGAUGCAACGCGUAGAACCUUACCUGGGUUUGACAUGGAUCGGGAGUGCUCAGAGAUGGGUGUGCCUCUUUUGGGGUCGGUUCACAGGUGGUGCAUGCCUGUCGUCAGCUCGUGUCGUGAGAUGUUGGGUUAAGUCCCGCAACGAGCGCAACCCUUGUUCACUGUUGCCAGCACGUUAUGGUGGGGACUCAGUGGAGACCGCCGGGGUCAACUCGGAGGAAGGUGGGGAUGACGUCAAGUCCUCAUGCCCCUUAUGUCCAGGGCUUCACGCAUGCUACAAUGGCUGGUACAGAGAGUGGCGAGCCUGUGAGGGUGAGCGAAUCUCGGAAAGCCGGUCUCAGUUCGGAUUGGGGUCUGCAACUCGACCUCAUGAAGUCGGAGUCGCUAGUAAUCGCAGAUCAGCAACGCUGCGGUGAAUACGUUCCCGGGGCUUGUACACACCGCCCGUCAAGUCAUGAAAGUUGGUAACACCCGAAGCCGGUGGCCUAACCGUUGUGGGGGAGCCGUCGAAGGUGGGACUGGUGAUUAGGACUAA
rnacentral:rRNA from 1 species